rnacentral:rRNA from 1 species
GCAAGUCGAGCGAACAGAUAAGGAGCUUGCUCCUUUGACGUUAGCGGCGGACGGGUGAGUAACACGUGGAUAACCUACCUAUAAGACUGGGAUAACUUCGGGAAACCGGAGCUAAUACCGGAUAACAUAUUGAACCGCAUGGUUCAAUAGUGAAAGGCGGCUUUGCUGUCACUUAUAGAUGGAUCCGCGCCGUAUUAGCUAGUUGGUAAGGUAACGGCUUACCAAGGCAACGAUACGUAGCCGACCUGAGAGGGUGAUCGGCCACACUGGAACUGAGACACGGUCCAGACUCCUACGGGAGGCAGCAGUAGGGAAUCUUCCGCAAUGGGCGAAAGCCUGACGGAGCAACGCCGCGUGAGUGAUGAAGGUCUUCGGAUCGUAAAACUCUGUUAUCAGGGAAGAACAAAUGUGUAAGUAACUGUGCACAUCUUGACGGUACCUGAUCAGAAAGCCACGGCUAACUACGUGCCAGCAGCCGCGGUAAUACGUAGGUGGCAAGCGUUAUCCGGAAUUAUUGGGCGUAAAGCGC